UUUUUCUUGUAGCAGACGCCCUAUUUGCUCAGCCCGUGUUUCUAAAGUUCGUUCAGCUACUUGAUUCAGCUUUUGAAACUGCCUCAAAUCUCUUUCCAACAACGCUAUUAUCGCAUAGCAAUGCUCUCUCUCGGCUUUGAAAUCCUUGACUUGUUUGGCCAUUUUAUUUUGAGUUAUGAAAACCCUCUAUUUUAAACCAAUGCUUUUAUCGCCACUUCCUUCUUUUAACUGCUCCAAUAUGCGGGCCCUUUCUUCUGCACUUUUAAUUAAUUGCUUCCGGGCUCCAGACAGUUCAACCUCCACCUUAUUAGGUCGAAAUCGUAUUCAGUUACUUAUCGACGCAGGUUCUCUAUGAGCUUUUCAUCUUUUGUGCUCCUCGGAGGAUUUUAUGCGGCUGCCUUCAUUUUCUUAAUCUGGGCUCGCAAGGUUUCAUUUUCUUUAACGAAUACCUUCUUUUCUCCCUCGUUGGCUGCGAUUUACAGACUGUUUUCGAAAUUGCAAUUCUUGAAUUUUCUUUUCCAGCCUUCCGAUAGUAGCCUGGUAUUCAUUUUCUUUUGAUAACCAAUCCCACCGCUCUUGUGAUGUCUCAGUAAAUUCCUGGAGAU
rnacentral:lncRNA from 1 species